AGAGACAGCAGCAGCCGCGGUAAUACGUAGGUGGCAAGCGUUGUCCGGAAUUAUUGGGCGUAAAGGGCUCGCAGGCGGUUUCUUAAGUCUGAUGUGAAAGCCCCCGGCUCAACCGGGGAGGGUCAUUGGAAACUGGGAAACUUGAGUGCAGAAGAGGAGAGUGGAAUUCCACGUGUAGCGGUGAAAUGCGUAGAGAUGUGGAGGAACACCAGUGGCGAAGGCGACUCUCUGGUCUGUAACUGACGCUGAGGAGCGAAAGCGUGGGGAGCGAACAGGAUUAGAUACCGCGUAGUCCCUGUCUCUUAUACA
rnacentral:rRNA from 1 species